rnacentral:ribozyme from 1 species
ACAAGCAGCAGCAGCAGAAGCAACGUCGUCGUCGGUAGUAGUAGUAGUAGUAGUAGUAGUAUGAGGAGGAUGACCAUUGACGAAAUGCGGGCUCUG